rfam:Dipodomys ordii contig_10125, whole genome shotgun sequence.
GGUGGCUCAGUGGUAGAGCGCUUGCCUCACAUGCCUGAGGCCCUGGGUUCAAUUCCUCAGCACCA